rnacentral:rRNA from 1 species
UACGGGGGGGGCAAGCGUUGUUCGGAAUUACUGGGCGUAAAGGGCUCGUAGGCGGCCAACUAAGUCGGACGUGAAAUCCCUCGGCUUAACCGGGGAACUGCGUCCGAUACUGGAUGGCUUGAGUUUGGGAGGGGGAUGCGGAAUUCCGGGUGUAGCGGUGGAAUGCGUAGAGAUCCGGAAGAACACCGGUGGCGAAGGCGGUCUGCUGGGCAGUAGCUGACACUGAGGCGCGACAGCGUGGGGAGCAAACAGG